GGGUUGUGAGGUUAAGCGACUAAGCGUACACGGUGGAUGCCCUGGCAGUCAGAGGCGAUGAAGGACGUGCUAAUCUGCGAUAAGCGUCGGUAAGGUGAUAUGAACCGUUAUAACCGGCGAUUUCCGAAUGGGGAAACCCAGUGUGUUUCGACACACUAUCAUUAACUGAAUCCAUAGGUUAAUGAGGCGAACCGGGGGAACUGAAACAUCUAAGUACCCCGAGGAAAAGAAAUCAACCGAGAUUCCCCCAGUAGCGGCGAGCGAACGGGGAGGAGCCCAGAGCCUGAAUCAGUGUGUGUGUUAGUGGAAGCGUCUGGAAAGGCGCGCGAUACAGGGUGACAGCCCCGUACACAAAAAUGCACAUAUUGUGAGCUCGAUGAGUAGGGCGGGACACGUGGUAUCCUGUCUGAAUAUGGGGGGACCAUCCUCCAAGGCUAAAUACUCCUGACUGACCGAUAGUGAACCAGUACCGUGAGGGAAAGGCGAAAAGAACCCCGGCGAGGGGAGUGAAAAAGAACCUGAAACCGUGUACGUACAAGCAGUGGGAGCACAGAGCAAUCUGUGUGACUGCGUACCUUUUGUAUAAUGGGUCAGCGACUUAUAUUCUGUAGCAAGGUUAACCGAAUAGGGGAGCCGAAGGGAAACCGAGUCUUAACUGGGCGUUAAGUUGCAGGGUAUAGACCCGAAACCCGGUGAUCUAGCCAUGGGCAGGUUGAAGGUUGGGUAACACUAACUGGAGGACCGAACCGACUAAUGUUGAAAAAUUAGCGGAUGACUUGUGGCUGGGGGUGAAAGGCCAAUCAAACCGGGAGAUAGCUGGUUCUCCCCGAAAGCUAUUUAGGUAGCGCCUCGUGAAUUCAUCUCCGGGGGUAGAGCACUGUUUCGGCAAGGGGGUCAUCCCGACUUACCAACCCGAUGCAAACUGCGAAUACCGGAGAAUGUUAUCACGGGAGACACACGGCGGGUGCUAACGUCCGUCGUGAAGAGGGAAACAACCCAGACCGCCAGCUAAGGUCCCAAAGUCAUGGUUAAGUGGGAAACGAUGUGGGAAGGCCCAGACAGCCAGGAUGUUGGCUUAGAAGCAGCCAUCAUUUAAAGAAAGCGUAAUAGCUCACUGGUCGAGUCGGCCUGCGCGGAAGAUGUAACGGGGCUAAACCAUGCACCGAAGCUGCGGCAGCGACACUGUGUGUUGUUGGGUAGGGGAGCGUUCUGUAAGCCUGUGAAGGUGUACUGUGAGGUAUGCUGGAGGUAUCAGAAGUGCGAAUGCUGACAUAAGUAACGAUAAAGCGGGUGAAAAGCCCGCUCGCCGGAAGACCAAGGGUUCCUGUCCAACGUUAAUCGGGGCAGGGUGAGUCGACCCCUAAGGCGAGGCCGAAAGGCGUAGUCGAUGGGAAACAGGUUAAUAUUCCUGUACUUGGUGUUACUGCGAAGGGGGGACGGAGAAGGCUAUGUUGGCCGGGCGACGGUUGUCCCGGUUUAAGCGUGUAGGCUGGUUUUCCAGGCAAAUCCGGAAAAUCAAGGCUGAGGCGUGAUGACGAGGCACUACGGUGCUGAAGCAACAAAUGCCCUGCUUCCAGGAAAAGCCUCUAAGCAUCAGGUAACAUCAAAUCGUACCCCAAACCGACACAGGUGGUCAGGUAGAGAAUACCAAGGCGCUUGAGAGAACUCGGGUGAAGGAACUAGGCAAAAUGGUGCCGUAACUUCGGGAGAAGGCACGCUGAUAUGUAGGUGAAGUCCCUCGCGGAUGGAGCUGAAAUCAGUCGAAGAUACCAGCUGGCUGCAACUGUUUAUUAAAAACACAGCACUGUGCAAACACGAAAGUGGACGUAUACGGUGUGACGCCUGCCCGGUGCCGGAAGGUUAAUUGAUGGGGUCAGCGCAAGCGAAGCUCUUGAUCGAAGCCCCGGUAAACGGCGGCCGUAACUAUAACGGUCCUAAGGUAGCGAAAUUCCUUGUCGGGUAAGUUCCGACCUGCACGAAUGGCGUAAUGAUGGCCAGGCUGUCUCCACCCGAGACUCAGUGAAAUUGAACUCGCUGUGAAGAUGCAGUGUACCCGCGGCAAGACGGAAAGACCCCGUGAACCUUUACUAUAGCUUGACACUGAACAUUGAGCCUUGAUGUGUAGGAUAGGUGGGAGGCUUUGAAGUGUGGACGCCAGUCUGCAUGGAGCCGACCUUGAAAUACCACCCUUUAAUGUUUGAUGUUCUAACGUUGACCCGUAAUCCGGGUUGCGGACAGUGUCUGGUGGGUAGUUUGACUGGGGCGGUCUCCUCCUAAAGAGUAACGGAGGAGCACGAAGGUUGGCUAAUCCUGGUCGGACAUCAGGAGGUUAGUGCAAUGGCAUAAGCCAGCUUGACUGCGAGCGUGACGGCGCGAGCAGGUGCGAAAGCAGGUCAUAGUGAUCCGGUGGUUCUGAAUGGAAGGGCCAUCGCUCAACGGAUAAAAGGUACUCCGGGGAUAACAGGCUGAUACCGCCCAAGAGUUCAUAUCGACGGCGGUGUUUGGCACCUCGAUGUCGGCUCAUCACAUCCUGGGGCUGAAGUAGGUCCCAAGGGUAUGGCUGUUCGCCAUUUAAAGUGGUACGCGAGCUGGGUUUAGAACGUCGUGAGACAGUUCGGUCCCUAUCUGCCGUGGGCGCUGGAGAACUGAGGGGGGCUGCUCCUAGUACGAGAGGACCGGAGUGGACGCAUCACUGGUGUUCGGGUUGUCAUGCCAAUGGCACUGCCCGGUAGCUAAAUGCGGAAGAGAUAAGUGCUGAAAGCAUCUAAGCACGAAACUUGCCCCGAGAUGAGUUCUCCCUGACUCCUUGAGAGUCCUGAAGGAACGUUGAAGACGACGACGUUGAUAGGCCGGGUGUGUAAGCGCAGCGAUGCGUUGAGCUAACCGGUACUAAUGAACCGUGAGGCUUAACCUUACAACGCCGAAGGUGUUU
rnacentral:rRNA from 1 species